GAUCAAGAAUCAGAGUACUCGAAAUUCGACUCCCGAAAUAGCUCAUAAUAGGCUGUAGAUAGCUGAUUUCACCAAGGCUACCAUUGGGUUUACAUCUUCCAAACUGAUCUCCACUCAUGGAUGGUGACUGGUGUUGCUAAAGUUUCAUCAGCUUGUACUUCUUGCAAGACUUUCAAGAUGAACAAUUUCUUUCCAAAUUUAGUUUUAAUAAACUUGUAUAAUUUCCUUUAAAGUUUUCUCCCAAUUCUUGCAAAAGAGUGUAUAAACAAUUUGAUUUGUGGCAUUUAGGUUAGGCCAUAUACCUUUGAAUAGCCCAAAUGUCAUCCAUGAACAAUGCCUUGACAUUGAUUGUUCAAAGGACUUAGUUUGUGAAAUCUGUCUUUUUGUAAAAAUGAAAAAGCUAUCAUUUCUAUUCAUGUAAAAAAUACAACUUUUCCAUUUGAAAUUGUUCAUUCUGAUGUAUGAGGACCUUAUGUUGUUCCAACCAUUAAAGGUUAAUGGUAUUUCAUUACUUUGGUGGAUGACUUUUCACAAUUUA